rnacentral:rRNA from 1 species
GGAUUAGUGGCGAACGGGUGAGUAACACGUGAGUAACCUGCCCUUAACUCUGGGAUAAGCCUGGGAAGCUGGGUCUAAUACCGGAUAUGACUCCUCAUCGCAUGGUGGGGGGUGGAAAGCUUUUUGUGGUUUUGGAUGGACUCGCGGCCUAUCAGCUUGUUGGUGAGGUAAUGGCUCACCAAGGCGACGACGGGUAGCCGGCCUGAGAGGGUGACCGGCCACACUGGAACUGAGACACGGCCCAGACUCCUACGGGAGGCAGCAGUGGGGAAUAUUGCACAAUGGGCGCAAGCCUGAUGCAGCGACGCCGCGUGAGGGAUGACGGCCUUCGGGUUGUAAACCUCUUUCAGUAGGGAAGAAGCGAAAGUGACGGUACCUGCAGAAGAAGCGCCGG